rnacentral:lncRNA from 1 species
UUUUUAUCCAAUAAUGAUGUAAUAUUGUCGAAUAAUUACGGCUUGUUGUCUUUUACAUAAUCUCAUUAAAGGGAGGGAUCCACUAGAGCAUGAAAUUAACGAAAUUGAAGAGACAAAAAAUGUGAAAGAAUGUGAUAUGGUGGGCACCGUUAGAGCAUUUGAUGAAUAGCCUUGCAAAUGUAUAAUGAGUGGCAAGGAAAUGAGAAUAACUAGCAAACUCCUGUUG